AGAGGCUUCCACGACGGCGACGUUUGGGGGCCUUUCUUUUGC
rnacentral:antisense_RNA from 1 species